CUGAAGCCAUGUUAAGAUUACAAAGCUGGUUGGUUCCUGUGCUCUAGGACUUGCCAGAGAGAUUCAUGAUCCGAUUCAGUUUGAAAUCUGAGUGAAGGAAUGCCACACCCAAAUGAGCUUUCUUCUCUCUGUUGUCCCCAUACAGAAAGAGGUCAAUUUCUCUGCAAUUCUUAGCACUUCAAUCUAUGAAAUCAUGGGGUUUAUUUCCAGGGUACUAAUAAAACCAUUACUUUAAGGGAAGGCUGUUUCCAACAAGACUAUAUGAAAACUUUCUACAAAUAGGCCAAUGUGUUCAUUGUUCAGAGCACUACUGAUUCAUUUCUGUCUCAGGGCCUUUGCUGUCUAUUCCCAUGAUAUGGAAUGCCUUUGCCCUGGUCUCCUGCUGAGACCAAACUCUAUUUCAACCUUCAAGGCCUAGCUUAAGAUGCACCUUCUCCCAAAAAAAUUCUCUUGGUCUUUAUCAACCUGCCCUUCCCCUCUUGUCUCCACCCCUAACCUGCUCAAAUAUAUUUCUUGUGGCAGGUGAUAUCCCAUGACAUAGCAUUCAGUACAGAAAAGGGCUAGGAGUACAGUAAGACAGCUUGAUUGAGGAGGUCUCGGAUUCCUGACAAUGGAAGUAUGGCCAGGUGCAGCUUAGUUCAUGUAGUUUGGGGAAAAACAGACCUGCCCAGGACUGAAUCCUCACUCUGACACUUACUAGCUAUGUAGCCUCAGGCAGAUUACUUUCCUUCCCUGGGCCGCAGUGUCCCUUUCAAAAAUGCCAUGGGGUUGCUUCCAGGCUAAAAUUGGUUUAGAUGACGACCACUUUCCUAAACAUUGGAGCUACAAAGAUGAGUAAGGUAAAGCCCUGAUCUUGAAAAACAGCUCAGAGUCUACAGACAAGCUAUUUGCAAUAGUUUCAGGCUCUUUGAGGGAAACAGUUAAGAGGUGUCAUGGGAAUAGUAAACUGAAAGCAGUAGGGAGUAGGGGAGAAACUGUGGAGUCUGGAGUGAUACCAGAAUUGCAGAUCUGUGCUGAAAGCUGGAGAAGAGUGGCAGUAGUAGGAAUGGAAGUGGAAGGAAGGAAUGGAGAAAAGGAAGAUUUGAGAGACAUUCCAAGUAGAGCAAAAUUACAGGCCUUGGCGCAUUUCAGACUUAAGAGGAUAGAGGAGAUUGGUGACGAAUCUUGACCAAAUUUCUAGCUAAGGAGACAGACACAGGCACCGAUAGAAAUGGAGUUAACUGGUUUGGGUAGUGGAAGAGAUCAACCUCUGCAGACAGCAGAUAUGUCUCACAAACAACUGAUGCCAAUCUUGAAGUCCAACAGCUUCUUUUUUCACAAGCCUACUGAGUCCUCUUCCUCAUCCCACCUCCAUCCCACUUGAUUUUACUGAGAAAGUUCACUGGUAUGUUGAACAGUCAACUAGGUUUGCGAGACCUAGGCAAACAGCAUGAACAACUAAUAAGAAGUACACUCCCCAUGCAUCUUUUUUAUUGGCUCUACUUGACUUUUAAAGUUAAAAUGACGUUAGCCUAGGAUAGCCCAGGUGUCUCUUGACCAUUCCUCCAAGAUUACAAAUAUCCAACUAUCCUCUGAAGCUGCCCGUGUAGAGCAAGGCAGUCUGGUCCGUUACAAUUGGAGGAUGGUACUUCCACAUUCUGAACCAGUAACUGUCACCCAGGACCAGCCAGAACCUGCUUUCUGUGGAACCCCCAACCUCCUCCUUUCCACCUCAGACACUGAGCAUGCUCACUGCAGAUUAAGAAGGAUGGCACAAAGGACAUUACCUAGAACAAGCCAGCGUGUAGACAUUCAACCCAUUAAAGCCGUCUGGGUAAGAUGUACUUCAUUCGCCAGAACUGUUGGAUAACCUAGGGAGCUUAAGAGAAUACUGGCCUUUCCAUCUUUGGUCACAAAAGGAGAGCUUAAACAGAAAUGCUGAGAAGGCAAGUAUAGCAGAGAAUGUGAAGAAAUCCCCGCCAUGGUACCCACAGCAGAUGUUUUCGAAGUUUGGGGAUGGUGAAGGACCCAGGGGACGGUGCCAAGGAGCAGCACGAGGUGCCGUGUGAUAAAUGGAGCUGUCUCUUUCCCAUUACAGGAACAUAGCAAGUUUCAAGAGCAAAUCAGAAACCUAGAAUGAUUAAUUGUGUAGUCUACAACGAGUCCUGUUGUGUUUGUCUAUGAAUCCCUUUGCUCUGAAGAUCAGACACACCAGGUGCAGAGAAACACCUGGCUAUGAUGAACCCUGUGAGUUUCUUAGUAACCCACUCCAAAAAAAAAAGGGGAACAGUGGUUUUGUUUACAGGUGAACAGUAGGAAGGGGAUCAAAGCUGGUGAGAAAACUGAAAUGGUGGAGUAAGAACAAAAGCAUCUCUCUAACAUCAAGCCAAGCGCUGUCAUAUCUCUGGCUUAGCUUCCUCUUUCUCUAUACCUGCUUGGCAUCAAUGAGGAACAAAGUAUUUUAAGGAAGUCAUAACUUCGUUCUUACUUAUUGCCACCCACCGAUUCCACUGUCACCUCGCAGUCACCUUUGCAUGUGACCUAAGGCAGUUUCAGCUAAGCGUUAGCAGUGAAGAGCAUAGCCAUUGAGCACACUGGUUUCUGGGCCCAAACCCCACAUUUUACUACCCAUGUGACACGGCACAAAUUAUCGAAAGUCUCUGUGCUUCACCAUCUGCCCAAAUAUGAUAUAACGUUAAUAAUACCCACCUAGGAAUUCUUAUCUAAGUAAAGUACACAUGAAUGUAAGAUGCCUGAAACAAUCAGUAAAUAGUAGCUAUUGUUGUUAAACAAGAUGGCCAGGGAGAUUACUGUUAUUUUUCUUUAAAGUGUAACCAGCACGUUAACAAUACUGUUUGCAUACUAAAUGAGUGUGUCAAUUACACAUAGUUAUUGACCCUUCCUUAAAGCUGAUGAGGUACACUAAUAUUUAGUUAGCUAAUUUUGUUGAACUGUAGAGGCAGCAUGGCUUGGUGGAAAGAUCUAGAUUCAAAUGCCAGCUCUAUUGUUCACUAAUUGCAAGCCUUAAAAAAAAAGAAAGGUGUUUAAUCUCUCGAUGCCUCAUCUGUUCUUUAAAAAGUGAGAAGAAAAAUACUUCAUUUUCAGGGUGGUAGUAAGAACUAAAUGAGAGAAUGCAAAUGCCUAGUGCAUAAUAGGUGUCUGUAAUAAAGGAUCGUUGACAAGACAGCACACAUUUACCUUACAGCAAUAAAAGUGCUCUCCAUUUUUAAUACCCUUUAAUUGUUUUCAUGAAUUCAUAGCAGCAUUCCUCCAAAUUAGUCUGAAUUUGUUAUGUUUUGUCAUGUGGUUUAAUUCCAAGUACAGCUAAAUGACAAGUGACCACGUAAGAAUGGUGCUGGGGGAGGGUAUCAUCUAAAACAGAUUAAUGUGGAUGCAGCUCUUUUAAAAAUAUCUAGGGGGGAAAACUCUAAAAUGUCUCUUGAACACACCUCAAGCUGUUAGAGAGAGGAAGCUUUUACGUUUAUCUUUUCUAAGGGUAAACGAUUGGGUUUAGAUUAAUUGAAAACAAGGAGGGGAAAAAAUGCACAGAUCUAUGUAAAACAGAGAGUGUCUAUGACAAGUGUUUCCAAAUACGUGGUUUCCAAAUAUGUAAUUGGUACAUUACAUAUCUCUGGCUUCUCUGAUUUCUAAAAAGCCAUGAAAGUUAAAUUAGGUUGAUUUAUUUCCGAAAGCGGUCAUUUGGAUUAUGUAUCAAUAAUGGGGCAUCAGUAUCCCUGAAAGCAAAAGAUUUAAAAUACAUAAAGAUAUUUUUAUGGCCCGCCGUGCCUAUUUCUAAAAUACUCUAAAUGUGAUACUGCCUUAGGCUGGCUUCCUUGGAAGGAGACACUGGGACAACAAUUCAUGUGCACGUGUGUGUUCUUAAGGAAGGGCUCCCCAUGGGCACCUAUUGGGAUGAGCACUGGGUGUUGUAUGGAAACCAAUUUGACAAUAAAUUUCACAUUAAAAAAAAGGAAGGGCUCCCCAAAAAAGAACUGGUAAGGAAGAGGGGAAAGCAGGACAGAGAAGGGAAAGAAAGCAAGCAAGGCUUUUUCCAUGGAGGACGGCUUUGGACCUGGUUCUGCAGGAGAACUCCGGAGGAUUCGUUAUGCUUAGAGUGGUCCCAGCUGGAAAAAAGCUGGAGCCUUUCUACAGCUGUGCCUGCUGGUCACUGAGCAGGGUCACUGGGAGAUGAGACAUGGUUCCCAGACACUUCCUGCCUUCUGGAGCAACUGGCCAGGGAGAGUCACAGGUGCUGGCCCUUGGAGGUAAAAGCACAAGGACACUGGGGGAAAGGCACAUCGCAACAGGAAAAAGUAACUUUUCAUGGAGCAGGGAGAGGAUGAAAAAAAUAAAGUCACAGCUUUCCUUUCAAUUAUUCCAAAGCAAUUUUUUUCUUUCAUUAUACCCCAGUUUUUCUCUUAUGAGUGUUAUAAAUAUGAA